AAAUAUUUCAAUAUAGUCCUACCGUUCACUUAGCAACAAAUGGUGUUAAGUUUCUAUUUUAAUAGAUGAAAAAUAUUCUUUGCUGAUAUUGGAUGGAUCACUGGCAAGGAAAUGAUGGAGGUAGAGAGAGUUGCCAUGUAGGAAAAGGAUGGGAUCAUAGAGAUUGGCUUGGAAAGGGAGGAUGGUGUCAAAGACCUCAUAGGCGGGAUUAGAGGAGAAGGAAGAUGAGAAGGAGUUAAGAGGAAGGGGAGGAGAAGGAGAGAGAGAACUCAUGGGUGGGCUUAGAAAAAGAAGAAGAUGAUGAAGAGAAAUAGAUGAGGAGGAAGGAGAUGAGGAAGAAAGAGGGGCUACCGCAAGAAAGAGCGGAGAUGGAGAGAGCUACCAUAGAGGAGAAGGGAUUAUGAGUAGGCUUGGAGGAAGAGAAGGAAAAAAGAAUCAUGGGUGAGCUUGGUGGAGG
rnacentral:lncRNA from 1 species